rnacentral:rRNA from 1 species
GGUUACCUUGUUACGACUUCACCCCAGUCAUGAAACACAAAGUGGUAAUCGUCCUCCCGAAGGUUAGACUAACUACUUCUUUUGCAUCCCACUCCCAUGGUGUGACGGGCGGUGUGUACAAGGCCCGGGAACGUAUUCACCGCAGUAUUCUGACCUGCGAUUACUAGCGAUUCCGACUUCAUGGAGUCGAGUUGCAGACUCCAAUCCGGACUACGACAUUCUUUAAGGGGUCCGCUCCACAUCACUGUCUCGCUUCCCUCUGUAAAUGCCAUUGUAGCACGUGUGUAGCCCUACACGUAAGGGCCAUGAUGACUUGACGUCGUCCCACCUUCCUCCGG